UUAAUGAAGCUGAUAACAUCUUAAGAGGUGGGGAAAAUGAAAUCUGAUGUAGGUGUGGCUGUCUCUAUAAUUAACAGGGUGGCAAAGGAACAGAAAUGUGGUUCAGAUGAUUCUAGAAAGUACUCUAAUUUCUGCUCCUUGAUUUCCUCAUGGGAAAAAUGGCGCAAAGUGGAUAUAAAUGCUCUUAACAGCAGUUACGAGCCCAUCAUGUUAUAUAAAUUAAAGACUGAGCUCACACUUGAACAUUAUGGAGUAACAUACAUUUCACAUCCCCAAGGUCACAUACAAAGUGUGAGCUGCACUCCAGUGGCAUUCGGGGAGUG
rnacentral:lncRNA from 1 species